GAUUAACGCUGGCGGCGUGCCUAACACAUGCAAGUCGAGCGGCAGCGAGUUUUACACUGAAUUCUGGAAGCUUCUAGUUGAAAGAGAAGAUUUAUUCAAGAAUUUUGUGUAAAAUGUCGGCGAGCGGCGGACGGCUGAGUAACGCGUGGGAACGUACCCCAAAGUGAGGGAUAACGCAUCGAAAGGUGUGCUAAUACCGCAUAUGGUCUUCGGAUUAAAGCCUUCGGGCGCUUUGGGAACGGCCUGCGUAAGAUUAGAUAGUUGGUGGGGUAAUGGCCUACCAAGUCGACGAUCUUUAACUGGUUUGAGAGGAUGAUCAGUCAGACUGGAACUGAGACACGGUCCAGACUCCUACGGGAGGCAGCAGUGAGGAAUCUUCCACAAUGGGCGAAAGCCUGAUGGAGCAACGCCGCGUGCAGGAUGAAGGCCUUCGGGUUGUAAACUGCUUUUAUAAGUGAGGAUUAUGACAGUAACUUAUGAAUAAGGAUCGGCUAACUACGU
rnacentral:rRNA from 1 species